GUGAACUCUGGCGAAUGGAGCCCAAAAAAUUAAAUCGUGCGAGUAAUGUCACUCUAUUAUAUAGAGAGCGUGAUUUUGGUAACAGCGUCGAUUUUGACCAGUAAAAUAGGUUUGAGGCGCACAAAACUUUGAAUAAAUAGAGCCAGGAUGAGCGUUUUUUUCAAACAAGCGGUGCUUCCCUUUGCCUGUUUGCUGACGCAUGAAGCAGGUUAGGACGUCUUCUUUGGGAAAAAAUUAAACAAUCUGAUGUUCGCUCGCUUGUUCACAUCGCGUCCAGUUAGGAAGAGGUGUCGGCUGUUUCAGAAGCUUUCCCAAUGAUGGUAGGUAUAAAAUUCUGAGAACUUAACAUUAAAGUGAUCUUAAUAUUUCAAAGAACCUGGUUCUUGCAAUUUACGACGUAGCAAUAUCAGCCUUCAAAAACCCAUGUCAGAUGAGGGAUAGCCGAUGUCCGUCUGUUUGGAGAGAGCGAUGUAAGGGAGGUCAUCGGCACUGGCACAGGGGAAAAGACGAAGAUAGAAUGGGGGAGAUGAACGAGGCCGAGAGAUCAAGCCGAGAGAGAGCAAGCCGGAAAGAGAGAGAGAUAUGCAGAGAGAUGUGGGCGCUUUGCCGUGGUUCAGCGAGUAUUGAUCUGGUGUCAGGUGCUAGAAGAUGGAUCAUGAACCCUCCUUCUGUCUUCUCCUCCUCCACCUUCCCCCCAUGUCUGGUCCUCCUCCCUCCUCCUUCAUUCACCCAUUCAUUUCAGUGCUCUUUACCCAGGCCUGGCUGUCAGCAGAGCUCGAGGAGAUCACGCCACGGCCAUCCAUCUCUCCCAUGUCUCCGGGGGCUCCUGUCCCACCCCGCCGGCUCCGUCCUGGCCUCGUCUCUGCCUCGUUUCGUCAUGUGUUUCCAUGACAAAUGCAAAACACUGCACACACACACACACAUUGAAAUGAAAGAAGACUAUAAAAAUCCGGCCCUUCAUUGUGUGGGUGUGUGAAAAACAGAAUAAAGCGAUAUGUCACUCUGUAGUUGCCAUGGUAACCAUAAGCAUCUAGAAUCAGAAAUGUUUCCAUUUCUUGUCCGCAACACUGCCUCAUCGUGGAUAAAUUACCAUCUACCUCUCUGUGUUUCUCUCUCUGUUUCUCUCUCACACCGCCUCGUGUUCAUCAUGCUCUGCCACUUACAGUAAAGGACUAAUCACUCACUUAUAUCCUCCCAUCUUCUCCCUGUCCCUCUCUCCCCCGCCUCAUUUUCUCAGCACACAGUAUGACCCCGGUCGUGCGGCCGGGGCUUGCCCCAAUUAUCGACCGGCCGCAGGACUGGGAAUCUCCUCAGAGGAUGCCGACUGGCUGCAGCACCGCCCUGCUGCACUCACACGGUUAAGGCCACGACUGAAAGAGACAGAUGGGCCUGCAGUAAAAGAGAAGGUUUGCAGGCUCGCAGUGGCAGCAGCAGGAGGAAUAAAACACUUUUAUGGACCGGUGACACAACACGGUGUGACAUGAGACCCCCUUUGUUGCAUUCAUAUCCUCAGCACAAUUUAAUAAAAUGCAUGUGUCAAGUGUGUGCUUGACUCAGCUAAUUCAUUCACCUCAUUCUUCAGCUUGUGUAGUUCAGUGUGUGUAGUUUCCCUUAGCUUCCUAAGCACCUGGUUGGUGGCAGACACACAAUAUGCCACAUUGGUGUCAUAUAGAAGUUGUUAUGGAAACUGAUGGUAGUACGUAAAUGUCUGCAAACAUAAAUGCCUCAGAUCAGAUGAGGUGCAUCAGAGCAGCUGCAUCCUGCUUAAUGCUAAUUUGGUAAA